AUGGGCAGCCUACUCUUCACAUGGAGCUCGGCCGUCACCACCGCUGGGACAUUGCAGCGGUCUGGACAGCCAUUACAGCCACAGACACAGCAGCCGCUGGCGCUGCAUGACCUCCGUGGUGGCCAUAGGCAUCGCAUCUAUCUGCAAUCAACUUUGCUAAGUGCAGCCAGAGAACUUGGCUUGGACCCUGGCAAACAGAUUAAAUUGGAUUCCAGUGCACAGUUUGGAUAUUACUUUCGUGUAACCUGUAAGGAAGAAAAAGUUCUUAGUAACAAUAAAAACUUUAGUACAGUAGACAUCCAGAAGAAUGGUGUUAAAUUUACCAACAGCAAAUUGACUUCCUUAAAUGAAGAAUAUACCAAGAAUAAAACCGAGUAUGAGGAAGCCCAGGAUGCCAUUGUUAAAGAAAUUAUUAAUAUCUCUUCAGGCUACGUGGAACCCAUGCAAACACUCAAUGAUGUGUUAACUCAGCUAGAUGCUGUUGUCAACUUUGCUCAUGUAUCAAAUGGAGCACCUAUUCCAUAUAUGUGACAAGUCAUUUUGGAGAAAGGACAAGGAAGAAUUAUAUUGAAAGCAUCCAGACAUGCUUGUGUUGAAGUUCAAGAUGAAGCUGCAUUUAUUCCUAAUGAUGUGUACUUUGAAAAAGAUAAACAGAUGUUCCACAUCAUCACUGGCCCCAAUAUGGGAGGUAAAUCAACAUACAUUUGCCAAACUGGGGUGAUAGUACUCAUGGCCCAGAUUGGGUGUUUUCUGCCAUUUGAGUGGCCGAAGUGUCCAUUGUGGACUGCGUCUUGGCCCGGGUAGGGGCUGGGGACAGUCAGUUGAAAGGAGUCUCCACAUUCAUGGCUGAGAUGUUGGAAACUGCUUCCUUCCUCAGGUCUGCAACUAAAGAUUCAUUAAUAAUCAUAGAUGAAUUGGGAAGAGGAAUUUCUACCUACAAUGGAUUUGGGCUAGCAUGGGCUAUAUCAGAUUACAUUGCAAAAAAGAUUGGUGCUUUUUGCAUGUUUGCAACCCAUUUUCAUGAACUUACUGCCUUGGCCAAUCAGAUACCAACGGUUAAUAAUCUAUAUGUUACAACACUAAUCACUGAAGAGACCUUAACUAUGCCUUAUCAGGUGAAGAAAGGUGUCUGUGAUCAGAGUUCUGGGAUUCAUGUUGCAGAGCUGGCUAAUUAAAAAGCCCUGGAGCUUGAGGAGUUCCAGCAUAUUGGAGAAUCACAAAGCUAUGAUGAGACAGAACCAGCAGCGAAGAAGUGCUAUCUGGAGAGAGAGCAAGGUGAAAAAAUCAUCCAGGAGUUUCUAUCCAAGGUGAAACAAGUGCCCUUUACUGAGAUGUCAGAAGAAAACAUCACAGUAAAGUUAAAACAGCUGAAGGCUGAAGUGAUGGCAAAGAAUAAUAGUUUUGUAAAUGAAAUCAUUUCCCGAAUAAAGGUGACUACAUGAGAAGAUACCAGUAAUGGAAUGAAAAUAAUAUUGAUAAGCUAUAAUUGUCUGUAAUACUUUCGUAUUGUUUUAUAUUAACUCUUUUUCUGUAGGGUUACUUAUUGAUGCCCAUGGUAUGUCAACUUAAUA